rnacentral:rRNA from 1 species
UACAGAGACUGCGAGCGUUAUUCGGAUUCACUGGGCGUAAAGGGCGCGCAGGCGGCCGAGUGUGUGAGGCGUGAAAGCCCGGGGCUUAACCCCGGAAUUGCACCUCAAACUACACGGCUAGAGCAUUGGAGAGGGUAGCAGAAUUCAUGGUGUAGCAGUGAAAUGCGUAGAUAUCAUGAGGAAUACCAGAGGCGAAGGCGGCUACCUGGACAAUUGCUGACGCUCAGGCACGAAAGCGUGGGGAGCAAAAGGG